rnacentral:rRNA from 1 species
GAAAUCGAGGCUAAUACCCGAUAAUGCAGCAGCAUCGCAUGAUGACAGUUGUUAAAGGCCGUAAGGUGCCAAAAGAUGAGCUUGCGUCCCAUUAGCUUGUUGGCGGGGUAACGGCCCACCAAGGCUACGAUGGGUAGCUGGUCUGAGAGGACGAUCAGCCACACUGGAACUGAGACACGGUCCAGACUCCUACGGGAGGCAGCAGUGAGGAAUAUUGCGCAAUGUCCGAAAGGGUGACGCAGCGACGCCGCGUGAAGGAUGAAGGCCCUAUGGGUCGUAAACUUCUUUUGCGAGGGAAGAAUUUCCUGCUAUAGGCAGGAUUGACUGUACCUCGAGAAAAAGCAUCGGCUAACUACGUGCCAGCAGCCGCGGUAAUACGUAGGAUGCGAGCGUUGUCCGGAAUCACUGGGUGUAAAGGGAGCGCAGGCGGGUCGGUAAGUCAGUGGUGACUCAGGCUUAACCUGG